rfam:Dipodomys ordii contig_12479, whole genome shotgun sequence.
GGUGGCUCAGUGGUAGAGUGCUUGUCUUGCAUGCAUGAGGCCCUGGGUUCAAUUCCUCAGCACCA